rnacentral:rRNA from 1 species
AUUGAACGCUGGCGGCAGGCCUAACACAUGCAAGUCGAAUGGUAACAGGAAACAGCUUGCUGUUUCGCUGACGAGUGGCGGACGGGUGAGUAAUGUCUGGGAAACUGCCUGAUGGAGGGGGAUAACUACUGGAAACGGUAGCUAAUACCGCAUAACGUCGCAAGACCAAAGAGGGGGACCUUCGGGCCUCUUGCCAUCAGAUGUGCCCAGAUGGGAUUAGCUAGUAGGUGGGGUAACGGCUCACCUAGGCGACGAUCCCUAGCUGGUCUGAGAGGAUGACACGCCACACUGGAACUGAGACACGGUCCAGACUCCUACGGGAGGCAGCAGUGGGGAAUAUUGCACAAUGGGCGCAAGCCUGAUGCAGCCAUGCCGCGUGUAUGAAGAAGGCCUUCGGGUUGUAAAGUACUUUCAGCGGGGAGGAAGGGAGUAAAGUUAAUACCUUUGCUCAUUGACGUUACCCGCAGAAGAAGCACCGGCUAACUCCGUG